AUUGAACGCUGGCGGCAUGCUUUACACAUGCAAGUCGAACGGUAACAGGCCGCAAGGUGCUGACGAGUGGCGAACGGGUGAGUAAUGCAUCGGAACGUGCCCAGUCGUGGGGGAUAACGCAGCGAAAGCUGCGCUAAUACCGCAUACGAUCUAGGGAUGAAAGCGGGGGACCGUAAGGCCUCGUGCGAUUGGAGCGGCCGAUGUCAGAUCAGGUAGUUGGUGGGGUAAAGGCUCACCAAGCCAACGAUCUGUAGCUGGUCGGAGAGGAGGACCAGCCACACUGGGACUGAGACACGGCCCAGACUCCUACGGGAGGCAGCAGUGGGGAAUUUUGGACAAUGGGCGCAAGCCUGAUCCAGCAAUGCCGCGUGCAGGAAGAAGGCCUUCGGGUUGUAAACUGCUUUUGUACGGAACGAAAAGGCUCUGGAUAAUACCUGGGGCUCAUGACGGUACCGUAAGAAUAAGCACCGGCUAACUACGUGCCAGCCGCCGCAGUAACAC
rnacentral:rRNA from 1 species